UAGCAGCAAUAGUGUUUCUGCACCCGUGCUCUGCAUUUUCUUUUCUCUCACACUGGCAGCACCCUCACUCUGUAAAGUAACACCCCUCAUUUGGUUAUGAAAUUAAUGUCAAGAUUUAAAUUCACAAUCUCUCCACCUACCCACUUCUCUUUGGCCGUGUGAGCCAAGGGAUGGCGGAUCAGAAGGAAUCUCUAAUCUCGUUCCUGGCUCUGUCCCUUGUCAUUUCUAUAUGCAGGGUGAUGCUUAGUAUUGUGGUGUAGGAGAUGGGGUGACAUGGUACCACCGUGCUCUUGGAAGAGUAGAGUACAGGGUGUGUGCCUGCCCUCCCUAGCUGUUAACUGAACUUGUUUACUUGGAUCAAGACUCACACUGGGCAAGAGGAAAUCGGUGCUCUAGCUCAAGGACCUUGAGUCCUGCACAAGACCCAAGGGACCCCAGAACUCAGGUCUCGAUAGAAGCACUAGAUUUUAAAAGGUCUCUAAAACCAUAUCCUUUCAACCCCCUUAUCUAAACAUAUUAUUCAUACACAUCAGAGUAAUGUGGGGCCGUUGUAAAAUGAGCAGGCAGCCAUUAAGUAAUAGAUGAUACCCAUUUGCCCCAUUGGCAGCUGUUCCCAGGUAUCAAACCUUUCCUAUUUGCAGGGGAAAGCUUUUCUUCAGGCCUAAGGGGGCCAGGGAUAGUAUUUCUUUUUUAACCUGAGGUAAUAUUCACAAAGCUUCUGAGGUAAUAUUUUUGCUCACUUUUUUUUUUAUUUGUUCUUUGAGAAUUUGGUACAAUGGAUUGUUGUUCUUCAUGUAUUUGAGACAAGGUCUCAGGGUGUAGCUCUAGAUGUCUUAGAGUUAUGUUAAGCAGACUUGCCUUGAACUCACAGAGAUCUGCCUUCCUGCUUGCUUGUGCCUCCCAUUGUGGGGAUUAAAGGUGUCCAUCACCACACUCAGGCCCUCAUAGAAUCUGUAUUGAUCAUACUCACUUCCUCAAUUCCUCCCAAAUGCACCCUUCCUCCCUACCCAUUCAACUGUGUCCUUCAGGAUUUUCUUGUUGUUAUUGCUCUAUAUUUACUUAUGUGUUUAUUAAUCUUCAACUUUUAAUACAUCUUUAAUUAGUAAUAUAAUAAAAAAGAUUAUAUCAGCUUCCCCCUUACAAACUCCCAUGCCCUCCCAACUCUCAGGGUAAUAUUUUAUCACUGAAACUGGGUCAGGAAAUAAAGCUUAGUGGGUAGUGCUCUUACUUAGCAUGCUGGGAAACCCCGGGUUCCAUCCUCCACAUCACAUAAGCCAGGUAAAGUGGAAGGUGCAUGUAGACACAGCUCUUGGGAGGUAGGGCCAAGAGAGCAGAAGUUCAAGGCCUUCCUCAGCCACAUAGUUAACUGGAGACCAUCUUGGGCUACUGUCUUCAAAGAAAAGGUUUUCUUUCAUUGUUGUUCUUGGUCAUGAUGCAACUCAUGUAUUAGGGAAGAGAUCUAACCAUGGCUUCUUUUCCUAAUCCAGCAUAGACCACACACACAUGCACUCUCCACUUGGCUCAGGAAGGACUUUGAAACUGCUGAAAAGUCAAACUGGAGACGAGGCAUUGUGGCUUUGUGCUUCUAACAGAAGAGUCUUGCUGCUUGAUUGCCAGGCCAUGUGUUACCCUUGUUAAAGGCCGUGCAUCCUCAGCAAUGUUCUAGAAACUGAGGAGGCCCUCAUUAUGGCUUGUGCAGUCUCCAUCCUUGGUUUGUCAAUCAGCUGCAUCUUGAUCCAAGGGCUGAAGAGACGGCUCAGUGGAUAAGAGUACUCAGAUCCCAGCACCCACAUAGAAAUACCAGUGUGGUCAUAUGUUCUUAUAACUCCAGUGCUACGGAGGUGGGAGGACUGUAGACAAGAGGAUCACUAGAGCUUACUAGCUACCUACCUAGCUCCAGGUCCAGUGAGAGAACCUGUUUCAAGGGAAUAAGGCCGAGAGUGAUAGAGAAAUAUACCCAACAUCCUCUUCUGGCUUCUGUUACCAUGGAAACACACCUGUGCACGUACCCCUUCAAUGCACACACAUACGCACGCAAAAGCACAAAGACAUACCCCAAUUGAGAGACCACUGAGAUGUGCUUUCCUGUUUUACAGUUUUUCAGCCAGGAAAAGGAUCAUCACUGUCCAGCCCUCCCAGAAGCAAAAGCAAAUAGCCACCACCCAAAAGAGUGGGAACUGUGGUUUGUGCUUGUGGCUCUGCUCCUUCACUCAGCACUGAGCAGAAAUGAAGCACUGAGUAUUUUGCUGGCGUUGCGUUUUCGUUCUUAUAAGGAGAGCGCGUAGAAGCCCUGUUCCAUGGUCUGGCGCUCCAACCUGGGUCUUCCCUAGCCAUUCCAAUGUCUGCUUUCCGGGCUCCAACAAAUAUGCAGUCUCUUCCCCUUGCCUCUGCACUUCUGCAGUUUGAUUUUCUCAUAAAAACAUCUCUGAGCCAUUUGUAAAUUUCCUAGCAUUCGGGGUACAAUUUCUACAGCUGUUGGCUGAGUUUCAAUAGCUUUCUCAUUUUGGAGUCUCAAUUUCCAAAAUGCCUAUCAACCUCUCCUUACCCCUCCAAUAUUAUGUCUGGGUUAAGAUGACAUUUUAUUAUUCUUCCAAUGUUAUCGUGUUUCGAAUUGGCUUAAUUACCCCCAUAUCCACUCAGCAUUCCUAUUGAUGCCAUCUCCAGAUUAAAUAUCUACUGGAAAUUAUUUUAAAUCCUGAAUCUUAUUAUUUUUUUUCUUCUUUCUAUCAUAGCUUUUUCAGGCCAAAGUAAAACUGGAUGUCUGUGUACAGUGUUCUUUUCAGUUUAUAGCACUUCAUAUCCCUGAACAACCUGGGUUUUAAUACACAGAUUUAAAUGUUUUAAUUACAUUUUUUUCUGCAUGUGGUAGAUACAUGUGUACCUUGGCACACAUGUGCAAAACAGAGGAUGGUCUAUGGGGGUUUGUUCUCUCCUUCCAUUAAGUGGAUUUCAGUGAUAGAACUCACACCUUUCAGCGUGGAAGCCAGUGUUUUACCCGCUGAGCCAUCUCAAUGGUACCCUGCAUAUCUGUUAUAUGUAGGUAGGAACUGUUGGGAAUUUGUCAAGAUAUCUUCAGCUGAACUUUUGUUUCUUGGGGUAAAUGGAAUGAAGAGUAAGAUCCUGUGAAAGCAUUUUGUUUUCCACAGUGGUGGAUCACAGAGAGGAACCCUUGAAGACGAGUUUCUAGCUUCUUGCAGCCAGCCAGCUUCCAGGCUAUAGACAAACCUCCUGAUGGUAUUGGGUCUUGAAAUCAUUAUCUGUAGCGGGGCUGGAUUAGAUAACCUUGCACUGGGUAUCCUGGUUUCUCCAUAUAGCUGUCUGCGUAAAAGGCAUGAUUAAACCCAAAGUAUGUGGGGGUGGGGGUGGGGGUGAAGUGUCUUAUGGAGCCAAGGAUGACUUUGAAUUCCUGAUCCUUCUGGCUUCAUCCCACAAGUGCUGGGAUCAUAGGUGUGUUUGCUACUACAGCUGGUUUAUGCAUUGCUGGAUGUAGAACCCAGGCCUUUGUACACACUAGGCAAACACUCUUCCUACUGAGCUAUGUCUCCAGCCUUACAAUUCUCAAUGGUGGUUUUUUGUUUGAUUGAUUGAUUUUUGUUGUUGUUGUUGGUUUUUUUUGUCAAGAUGGCAGUAGUAUUCCACAAGAGCUGUUUUAUUCUUCACUCUCUUUUGAACACAUGAGGGGAAAAAGGCAUGGUGGACAAACUUGGGCACGUGUAUGUGGACUCAUUUACGUAGUUGAAAGGAGUGUGCCUGCGGGUCCAUUGCCUAUGUGUGCUGCCUCCUUUAGCUGCUCAUAUAUAGCCACACAGUCUUUUUCCAUCAUUUACUUUAUAGAGUCUGGACUCAGCUGGAACGUAACAAAGACAGAAAUUAGCUCCUUCAACAUUCUUCAGUCUUUAAUAUGUUUUGGGAAAGUAUAGACACGAAAUAAAGAUCACCCUUUUAUGUUUCAUGAGCUCAAUUAAUUGGUAAGGAGUCUCAUUUGACUGAUGAAAGGAGUACUGGAAGCAUCUGAAAUUGAGCACCUGGUUCUAUAUCCCCAUUCUCUUAGGUGAGCUACUAUCUUGGGUCUUAUGGCUUCCAUGAAAGGAGAGUUGCCAAGCCAUAGACCAGUGUGUCAGAGUCGAUGCCUUUGGGCUUCAUGAGAUUGGCCAGAGUUCUGUGCUUGUCCAGAGACUCUUACUUCUUUCAUAUGAGAGUUGGGAGAGUGUUCUGUGCUCAAGAGAAUCGUGUGGAUGUCUCUUUAGUCAUAGACAUGUGUAUUUAUUUGUUUCUGUGGCUGUCCUAGUUCUUCCCACCACACCUUCUGUAUAGCCUGGCGGUUACAGCUAACUGUUCCGCAUCACUGUGCUGUUCCAGUAUGAUCAAUCCCAUAAGAUGUAUGUAUCACAAUAAGAUGUCUCUGUUAGGAUGUAUCACUAGUUGUCUCGAUUCUAAUUCGUAAAGAAGUCUCAAAACUUACUUUGAGGAGUCAUCUCAGUUGAUAAAGGGCUUACCUCACAAGCAUGAAGACCAGACUUCUAUCCCUGCAUCCAUGUUAGAAAGCUGGGCAUGUAAUCUUAAUGCUGGAGAGGCAGAGACAGGGGCUUGCUAGCCAGCUAGCUUACACUACUUAGUGAACCCAAGGCCAGUGAGAGACACU
rnacentral:lncRNA from 1 species